rnacentral:rRNA from 1 species
GGUCCUAGGGUUGAUCAGGCAACUACUGUCAAACGGUGGCUAAUACCGGAUAUGCCGAAAGGUAAAAGGCUUGCUGCCUGAAGAUGAGCUCGCGUCUGAUUAGCUAGUUGGUGUGGUAAGAGCGCACCAAGGCGACGAUCAGUAGCUGGUCUGAGAGGAUGAUCAGCCACACUGGGACUGAGACACGGCCCAGACUCCUACGGGAGGCAGCAGUGGGGAAUUUUCCGCAAUGGGCGAAAGCCUGACGGAGCAAUACCGCGUGAGGGAGGAAGGCUCUUGGGUUGUAAACCUCUUUUCUCAGGGAAGAAAAAAAUGACGGUACCUGAGGAAUCAGCAUCGGCUAACUCCGUGCCAGCAGCCGCGGUAAUACGGAGGAUGCAAGCGUUAUCCGGAAUGAUUGGGCGUAAAGCGUCCGCAGGUGGCUAUGUAAGUCUGCUGUUAAAGAGCAAAGCUUAACUUUGUAAAAGCAGUGGAAACUACAUAGCUAGAGUGCGUUCGGGGCAGAGGGAAUUCCUGGUGUAGCGGUGAAAUGCGUAGAGAUCAGGAAGAACACCGGUGGCGAAGGCGCUCUGCUAGGCCGCAACCUUAUCGGUGAAGGCACGAAGCCGGGGCUGGAAUU